AGAUUGAACGCUGGCGGCAUGCCUAACACAUGCAAGUCGAACGGGAGUAGCAAUACUCUAGUGGCGGACGGGUGAGGAAUACGUAGGAAUUUGCCCUUAAGUGGGGGAUAACCCGGGGAAACCCGGAUUAAUACCGCAUGACCUCGAAAGAGCAAAGUGGGGGAUCGCAAGACCUCACGCUUUUGGAGAAGCCUACGUCGGAUUAGCUAGUUGGUGAGGUAAUGGCUCACCAAGGCGACGAUCCGUAACUGGUCUGAGAGGAUGAUCAGUCACACCGGAACUGAGACGACGGUCCGGACUCCGUACGGGAGGCAGCAGGUGGGGAAUAGUUGGAC
rnacentral:rRNA from 1 species